UAAUAUACUUUGACUUUUUACAGGCUUAAUAAUGCUUCAGUGUGUGGUACUCCUCAAAACACGGGACAGCACACAAGGGAGUGUUGCAUGGCACACACAUGUGCUUGGUGAGGCGCCUCUGCUUGCCCUUGCGUGUGCUGGAGAGGCAGACCUUGCAGUGCCGCCUGGUCUUGCUGCCCUGGGAAGUGGUCUGAGGGACUUCAGAUGGGAAAUGCCUGGCUGUAAGGCGCAGAGGAGUGUCCAAGGCAGGACGCCCGCCUUUGGUUGGACCUCGCAAUGUGCUGUACUCCUCCAGCAGCCCUCUCAUCAGUAAUUUGCCGGUAGACGAUGUGGCUGUUGAGUAAAACCGUGUCGAGUACAUGAAAAAAUACUUUCUUGUACCACUUGGUAGACUUUCUGGUGCAUUCAUGAAAACCAGUCAUCAUAUCAGCUUUGUCAACUGCACCCAUCUUUUUGUUGUACUCCAGCACACAGACUGGCUUCAUCAUUGGUUGCCCAGUGAGGUGAUCCAGCUUGCCUGUGGCUGCCAUACCAGUUGGAUGGACUGUGGUGAACUUUGGCAUCCCUUUUCUGUGUCCGCGCACGGUCCCACAAGCUCCAGUGCCAAGUGACAAGAGGUGCUGGAAAAAUGGAAUGAACUGACGAAAUGCCAGCCUGCCUUUCCACUUCAUCAGAGACUCAUCCACACACAGAUCCCUGUAUGGCACAAAAAUGCGACGAAAAGAGGAGGAACUGGUGUCAUCUCUUCGUCUUCAAAGUUGUCCAGAGCUUCAAGAUUUGGGGGAAGAUCCUCAUCACUGUCACUCUCUGCCUCGCUGUCAAAAAUCUCCUCAUCAGAAUUAAAAAAAAUUUCCUCAAUU